rnacentral:rRNA from 1 species
AACGAACGCUGGCGGCAGGCCUAACACAUGCAAGUCGAGCGAGGACUUCGGUUCUAGCGGCGGACGGGUGAGUAACGCGUGGGAAUGUGCCCUUCUCUACGGAAUAGCCCUGGGAAACUGGGAGUAAUACCGUAUACGCCCUAUUGGGGAAAGAUUUAUCGGAGAAGGAUCAGCCCGCGUUGGAUUAGGUAGUUGGUGGGGUAAUGGCCUACCAAGCCGACGAUCCAUAGCUGGUUUGAGAGGAUGAUCAGCCACACUGGGACUGAGACACGGCCCAGACUCCUACGGGAGGCAGCAGUGGGGAAUCUUAGACAAUGGGGGCAACCCUGAUCUAGCCAUGCCGCGUGAGUGAUGAAGGCCUUAGGGUUGUAAAGCUCUUUCAGCUGGGAAGAUAAUGACGGUACCAGCAGAAGAAGCCCCGGCGAACUCCGG